rnacentral:rRNA from 1 species
GACGAACGCUGGCGGCGUGCUUAACACAUGCAAGUCGAACGGUGAAGCGCCUUCCUUUUUGGUGGGUGUGGAUGAGUGGCGAACGGGUGAGUAACACGUGAGUAACCUGCCCCCUUCUUCUGGAUAACCGCAUGAAAGUGUGGCUAAUACGGGAUAUUCUGGGUCUGUCGCAUGAUGGGUCUGGGAAAGAUAUUGUUUCGGUGGGGGAUGGGCUCGCGGCCUAUCAGCUUGUUGGUGGGGUGAUGACCUACCAAGGCGGUGACGGGUAGCCGGCCUGAGAGGGUGGACGGUCACACUGGGACUGAGACACGGCCCAGACUCCUACGGGAGGCAGCAGUGGGGAAUAUUGCACAAUGGGCGCAAGCCUGAUGCAGCGACGCCGCGUGAGGGAUGGAGGCCUUCGGGUUGUGAACCUCUUUCGCCAGUGAAGCAGGCCUGCCUCGUUUGUGGGUGGGUUGACGGUAGCUGGAGAAGAAGCGCCGGCUAACUACGUG